rnacentral:lncRNA from 1 species
UGUGGAUUCGAUCCCGACCUUUCGGGUAAAAGCUGCAUCGACCGCUCUUGACACUCUAUAGUGGUAUAGGGUUGGCCCCGAUCAGGGGACAUUUGAUUGGAGAUUAUAUGGAGCUUGGUAAGGAUGGAAUUUCUGGGAGGUGGAGCUCGAUUUUGUGUAUAAUGUUGUGGCUGCGCGUAAGGUUGCACGUUCAUCACUGCAUACCAACAAACCAACCGCCUGAAUAAAACAUGGCUAAUUUGCACACACCACGACCUUGUUAGUUUUGAGACAUUUAAUAUAUAGGAAAUCACACGUUGAGAUGCAAUGUACGUAAUAGUUAAACGCUUUUAUCAUGUUUUUGAACGGUUGCAUAUUUUAUCCCGGCCUUAACUAACCCUUUUUCACUCUGCACCUCUUUUCUUUCAUUUCUGCCUCUCUUUACUCACUCUUGAUUUUCUCAUUUUGUUUUUGUCGCUCUUUUGUUUUUUGACGCUCUUUUUUUCUCUUUUUGUUUUUGUCACUCUUUUAUUUAUUUUUUUGUCGCUCUUUUUAUUACUUUUUUCACUCUUCUUUUUCUUUUUGUUUUACCACUUUUUAAUUUUUUGUUGCUUAUUUUUUCACUCUUUUCNNNNNNNNNNNNNNNNNNNNNNNNNUCAGGAAUGGAGUAAAUAAACUAACUCUCUAUUUUUUUUAUAACACUCAAACAAUGAAAGCGUUUAGAAAAAGAAUAUAUAUAUAUAUAUAUAUUUGAAAUUUUCGAAAGAAAGGCUUUGGAAGAAGAAAGAAAAUAUUUUUGGAAUUUUAGUUUUAAGUUUUAUUUUUUUUCAAAAGUUUUGAAAGAAAGACUUCUAAAAAUGAGAGAAAAUAUAUUUUAUUUUUGGAUUGUUUUUUUUUAAUUUUGGGAAAAAGACUUCUUAAAAAGGUAGUUUUUUUGGGGGAGAUUUUGAUUUGAUUUGUAGAUUUUGGAAAGAAGGACUUUUAAGACAAUAUUUCGGAUUUCUUAGUUUCUCUUUUUUUUCUUUUUUAAUUUACGAAAGUGCUUUUAAAGAAAAGCGAAAAUAUUUUUGGACUUUUAAUUCUCAAUUUUUAUGACAUUUACAAAAGAAAGACUUCUAAAGAAGAAAAAAAUAUUUUUGGAUUUUUGUUUCUAAUUUUUUUUUGAAUUUUUGGAAAAAAUACUUUGAAAUGAAGAAAAUCCGUAUUUUGUAUUUUGAUUUUUGAUUGAUUAUUUCUGUAUUUUUAUUUUUUUUACAUAUGAAAGACUUUGAAAAGAAGGAAAAUAUUUUUUGUGUUUAAAAAUCCUUUUUUUUUUAAUUUUCUAAGGAAAGACUUCUAAAGAGAAUUAAAGGAAUUUUUUUUUGGAUUUUAGAAAUUUGGGGCCGGAACCGAUGAGGUUUGCCUACGUAUCUCACACCCGGUGAAAAUCAGACCCGCAUAAUUAGGUCAAUUUUGGCAUAAUCGAGAAAACAUGUUAUUGACCCAUUUUUUAAAUGACUCUUUUUUUUAAUUUUCAUCAUUUUUCUUUUUUUUUUCUUUUUUGAAAAUUUUCGGCAGAGCUUCAGGAUAGUUUUCAAGUAUCGGGAUUUUCAGAAUUCGGCUAAUUUCUCUCUUACCUCACUCUUGGUUUUCUCUUAAUUCUAUUUCCAUAGCCGAUCAACAUGCAAGCCGAAGCAAAUAAAUUUACAAAUAGCACGUAAGAUGCAUCAGGAUGGUCUUUCAUUUCGGGUACACAUGUCCUAGACGAACCCAACCCCUGUGUUGAGUCCCCAAAGGCAAAUGCACGUGAUGCAAACAAACGUUCCUACUAGGGAUCUGGCAUGAGGCUAUGUUAUUCUAGGUUUAAACUGGGGGUAUGUUCUAGAAAUGGCUUACUCAAGCGGACAACUCGAGCCGAGGUUGGGCCAAUGUACCGAGAGCACGAAAGUCUGUCCGGCCUAGUUGCUGACUAGCCUCGUUCUAUUUGAUAUAACUUCUAACAUAAAAGUGGGCCACGCGUACGUGUGCACCAUAUUUUUAGAAGACUCAGAAGAGAGGUGUAAGAAGAUAGUUUAAUACAGUUCAAAUAAUAUCAAAGCGGUAAACAAGCAUCACUUAGCACAUUAGGCCCAUAAACACAGUAAUAUCAACAAUCAAGGAAGCCAAGUAUAAAUAAUAUUAACAAACUCGAAUUCUGAACCCUGAACCAGAGGUUCUAGGUUCGUGUCCCUAGCAUAGUCGUCAGAGCUGUCACACCUCCUUUUUCCCGAUAGGGGGGUAGGGAGUUUUUUCAAUUUAAGUGACAUUAAUCGAAAUGAGAUUAUUUAUUUAUUUAAGAGUCACCACUCAAAAUUAUCUAUUUACGGUAUUUCGAGUCACCAUUUAUUUUAAAAUCCCAAAUCGAGGAAAUUUUGACUCCGUUAAAGUCUGCGAAAAUUAGAAGACCGAGUAAGAAAUUCUAUUAACUCGGAAGAAGGUGUUAGGCACUCCCGAGUUCCGUGGUUUUAGCACGGCCGCUUUAAUCACACUUGGCAUAAUUAAAUUGUUCAAUUAUUUGUUUUAAGAACCUAUGUAUAUUUACCCUUUUUACUGCUUUUAAUUACUUGAUUAUUCGUAAUUUAUAGAAUUAUCUUGAAACGAGUCACGCGUACGUGUAAUCUUUUGGUUUGGCGCAUCAAAAAUCAUGUUACGCGUACGUGUACACAAUUCACAACACUUAAUAUUUAAGAAAACUUGGUCAAAGCGCGAACGCGUACCUUGAUUUAUUUUGAGAAUCGUAAUUAUGUCACACGAACGUGUACAUAAUCACGAUAAUAGAUUAAGUCAUGCCUAAAACAUUUUCUACGAAUAUUCAUUUUUAAGUUGUACUUGUAUCACGCGAACGUGUACACAAUUAAUAACAUUUUAUUAUUAUUAAGAUUGUUUCGCCCAACGUUGCGCUAACGCAUACGUUGGUCUUAAUUUUGGAGCCAGUAACUAUAUUACACAAACGUCGACAAUCCUAAAGAUUGCCUACCUGAGUGUUGACGGUCUAAGCAUGCUACUAGCGAUCUAAACAAAUAAAGUGAAAUAAUUAACAUGAUAAGUUCAAUUUUCCAUUUUUGAUGUCCAUCCCAUAUUCAAAACAAUGAAAAUGCUAAUUUUCUUUACCUAUGCAUGAUGAUAUAUCCUUCUGAUAGUUAUUAGAGUCACAAAAUGUCCAAGUCAAAUAAUAAACCAUAUAAAAAAUAGAAAAGCGUAAAAUAAAAAGAUUAGUAAUAGACUAAUAAUUCAACAAUCACAAGAAUCCAUAGUCCUUAAACUAACGAGAGCUGGAAACAUUAAGAACACCAUCCAAACAAAUAUAUGUAUAAUCUCAAACGCAUAUGCAUCAGAUGGAUUCAAUUCAUCAAAAACAAUUAUAAGAGCAAACAUAAUUGAAGAAGAGAUGAAUAAGAAAUGGACCUCAAAUAAUUUUUGCCAAAGAAACCCUGCUAGUUGCCUUCCUAAUUAUUAAGCUAUGAACAUAGAUUUUGAACCGAAAAGUUCGUCGGCGACCUCUGACCUCGAAACGGACGGCGUCGCUACCAAAUCCUCAAAUAAUUUUUGUCAAAGAAACUCUGCUAGUUGCCUUCCUAAUCACCUACGAACAGGGAUUUUGGACCGAAAAGUUUGUCGGCGACCUCUAACCUCGGAACGGACGGUGUCGCUACCAAAUCUAAGUAGCCAAGACCUUAUACUCACUGAAAAUUUCCUCGAUUAUUUUCCAAUCAGCCAAGAUUUUGAGAAUGAAGGAAUUCAUUUCUGUUUGUGGAAAGGCCGGAGAUGGAGUUACACAACUAAAGAGGUGAUGGGUUUGGGGCUCUGUUUCUGGGUCAGGAAGAUAGGGUGGUUGAUCCUUCUCCUUCAAGAUUACGGCUGAAGCUUCAAUCUUAGCUUAGGGUGGGCAGCUCAUUUUUUGUAUGAGAUUAAGGGAGCUUUUUUGGAUGAAUUUUAUGCUUGAGGAGAAGAAGAUGAUGGCUUCUGGUUUUUCCAAUUCACUGCCUUCCCUUCUUUUCUCUUCACUCUCUUUUUGUGCAUUUUUGUAAGUGUGUGCGUUUGAUAUUUUUGAGAAGGGGAUUGGAGGAGUUGUUGUCUGUUGAAGGAUCCAGGAAUGAGUGCCACUCCUCGGGUUUCCAAACAAGGGGAAGGGGGGGUUUGUCUUCCUCCCAUUAGUGAAGAUAGGAUGAGCUCUUUUCUCUUAACUUAACGAAAUUAGGUUUUUGUGUGGGUUUAAGGGUAUUGGGCUUGGGUAGGUGAAAGAAGAUUGUGCCCAGUUGACAAGUGGGCCACUUUAAACAAUUUUGCUCUUAGCCUAGUUUCAAUAAAGACUAACCUCUUUUCCUUUCUUUAAUUUUUGCAAUAUUAGCCAUUCUAACUCAAAUUUUAAUUUAAAUUCUAUUUUUUGUGUGGCUAGGCUAUUUAUUUACUAAAAUUAUAUUUUAGGAGUAAUUUCCAUGUAGGGCAAAGAUUAGGUGCUCACACACGUUGUAACGAUACGCACCUCGCCACGACCGAGGUCAUGUAUUUAGAACGCCUGAGAGGCUAAAUGGAUAGUACGGCAUUUCAAGUAGUCGACUCGUAAUAUAGUCAAAU